AAAACUCAAAUGAAUUGACGGGGGCCCGCACAAGCGGUGGAGCAUGUGGUUUAAUUCGAUGCAACGCGAAGAACCUUACCUACUCUUGACAUCCACGGAAUUUAGCAGAGAUGCUUUAGUGCCUUCGGGAACCGUGAGACAGGUGCUGCAUGGCUGUCGUCAGCUCGUGUUGUGAAAUGUUGGGUUAAGUCCCGCAACGAGCGCAACCCUUAUCCUUUGUUGCCAGCGG
rnacentral:rRNA from 1 species